rnacentral:lncRNA from 1 species
UCUGUUCCCCAUUUCCACGAGGCACACUGAACUCCAGAGUCAGGAACAGAGGUGAGCCAGGUAUUGGGCUUUUAUGUGGACAUAUUUGAACAAUUUCUUACAGAAAUUCCAAUAGGUUAAGGAUCUUCAUUUAGAUUAGUUUUUUGUUGGGGUUAAAGUCUUCAAAUACCUAGACUGUCAACUAGUUGAAAUUCCAAUUUGUGAGGUAAGUCUUAUGAGAAUGUCCUCUACCUUUAAUUUUCUGUCUCAACCUAUAGACCAGGUGCUAAUACAUAAGCUUUAUGUUGGUUUAAUUUUCCAAUACAGUACUGCAUAUACAGUUGAAAACUAACUUUGCCCAAAGGAAAUUAUUUUUAGGUAGUCCUAAUAUAAAUUUAAGAUCUAUCCAACAAAACAAAAAAAAGCAUAGGGAGUUGGAGAAUUAACAUUUCGCUAUUUUAACUGUUAGAUGAAGCUAUUAAGCCUUGAUGACAUGUCCUUUAUGAUGGAUGUGUUUCAUUUCUCUUCAGUGAUUCUGUUGAAAGGUGAAAGGCCAGUCCCCAGGAUUCACAAUUGAAUUGAGGCUACACAAACCAACCAAUGACAAGAAAUGCAGUAAAGGGUGUCUUUCUCAGGGGGUUCCUGAAAUGGUGACAUUUAAUUCUUGAAGGUCCUAAGAGGAAAGGUGUGUUCUAAACACAAAAGCCUACUCAAAGCUCUGAAAGCAUACACAGGCCUAAGAAGCACAGAAUUUUGUGGGAGGGAAGCUAGAAAUAACUGCUCCAUCAGUGUUUGUAGUUUGGCAUUAUUAACAAGAAUGAUUCAUUGGAUGAUAGUGGGAGAAUCUCAAUUCAGUUCUUUGGUAGAGUGGUGGGUAAAAACUGGAGACAGUUUAGAAAAAUGCAAAAGAGUGGUGAGACAGCAUUUCCAUGGGACAAAUUGAAGUUUAUUGAAUAUUCUACUUCCAGAAUCAGUACUUUGUUCUCCCCCCCCCACCUUUAGAAAAAAAAAGCACCUCAGCCAAUAUUUUUAAGUUUAGUCAGUCUCAUACCAGGAGCCAUGCAUCUCUAGAAAAUUAAAGUCUUUGUUUCCUGUCGAAGGAAUUGCAAGAAUCUGACCGAAGAGUGGGGCAAACAGGAAUUUGGUCACUCUAGGCCUCUAUCCUCAGCCCAGUGGUAAACAAUUGAAUCUUCCUCCAGGUGACUGGCCACCAUAAUUCCAAACCUUUCCAGCCUCUUGCUUCCUGAAGAGAUAGUAUGGAUUCUGACUCCAGUUUGCAAAUACACCUUAAGAGUAGGUUUUCCUUUAACUUUACCUUUCAUUUUCUAACAUAGGUCAGGCAGCUCUUCAAUACUCUGCUAAUACAGUAACACACCUCUCCUGCCCCCUGCUUCCAGACCCCUAAUAAUUUGUGUUUCAAUUUUCUAAUACUAAUAUCCUCUGAUGUUUGUACCAAUUGGCCCACCAUUUGAUCUUCCAGAGAACAUCCCUGUCUCCUAUUUCCAUAAUAGGUUACGAAUUUCUCUUUCUCUUUUCAUGCACGUUUUUCUUAUAUAUGUGAAGAGUUACUAUACAAGAGUUCCCUUAGUGGUCUAUAUUGGUCUGACAUGUUCAAAUGGAAGAAUUGCUAAGUGAGUACUAUAGAAUGCAAAUUUAAAAGUUCACAGACCUGCACUUUUUCUUUUCUCUCUUGUUUGAAUGGAAUUUAAAAAUGAACAGUCUUUGAGGGACUGGUGAUAGUAAUGGCAAGAUAAGCUCUUACUUUGUGAUGGCACAGUCUACUUGAAAACUAAACUUGUUCAACAUGAUUAGAUAGUGAGUUAGCUCUAAUGUUUCCUUUUCUUGCCAGGGAAACUGAAUAAUUAGGCAGUUUGGAGUGUUUCCUUACUGCCUUUCAGAGAUCCAGAGUCCGUAUGUUUACAGACUAGGACCUGCCCACAGAAGCCAUAAUGUUCCUCUGAAAGAAGGAAGGAAAGGAAAUUGCUAACUUUAGAAAAAAAUGGUUGGAGAUUAAGACAAGCUAAAUGACACACUUCAGCUUUCCCAUAUUAAAAGUUAAGGUUACUUGUAGCGCCAAUUGUUUGCAUGCUUUCAUUAUUUCCAUAAAAUAACCACAAAGUGCUCUUGCCCACUGCAAUUCAAAAUGUCUUCCAGAUGAUAGUUUCUGUCAUCUUGCAAUUAGUAUAUUGAUAGAUAAACCCAAAGAAGACUGCAGACAAGGAAACCUCUCCCACACUUGGCGUAUAUAAUAAAUACUAGGCCAGUGUCUAAUUCUAGCUCACUGAAAAAAUAUGUAAAUCCCUUAAUAAGGCAGUAGUCUUCACAGAUAAAUAUGUUGAUGUUUGGGGAAAUAUUUGGGCUUUAUUUGUAUUUUUAUUUCCUAGAAAUGUUGAAAAGCAGUUUGAUUCUAUCUUAACUUAGGUGCUUAACCCUAUACUGAAUGUUUGAGGAGCGAAAGCUGUUUAGGACAUGAUCUUUGCCCCCUCUCCAACCCCAGGAUCUCAGCAUCCAAUGUGAAAGUAGAAGGUGAAGUACCAUGUUGCUUAUCCACAAUAAGUACAGUUUAUAGACCUUGCUCGUUCGGUAGAGGAAGGUUCUCUAAGUAAUAAUUUGCUGUGUUAUGUGAAAUCCUUUGCCAUUGCCAGGAAAUAACUUAAAUCGUCAGAAAGCUUUUGCAUCAAAUAAUCCUUCUGGAAAGAGGAGACCAGACAAAAGACUUCACACCUGUACUGAGCCUGGGAGGUCACCCCCAAAAGAACUAAUCUCAGAGAGAAGUUUAUACAUUUUUAAUACUCUCAGUUUGCAGAUAAUUGAUCUAAUUUAACCUAAUUUGACUAGAAUUUCCAUGUCAUGAAUUAUAUUGUCUCGUCUCAUAAGCAACAUGCAUUUUGGCUGUCCUAAUCAGCUAUUUAAUGAAUGAAGUUAAUAACUCAGGUACCUGAUGCCAAAAAUGAAUCUCCAGUAGGACUGAGAACUCUGAGAUAAAUACAAGGCUGUAUGCUAGGUAAGUGGUAAGCCUUACCGUUCAGAUCAGUGGAGAAGGAAUGGAUGGCUAAGUCAACAGGCAAUAUUGAGACUGUGUACCCUUUGAAGAAAGUAAAGUUAGCUCUCACAAAAAUUAAAAUUUCCAGCUACACUAGAAGUGAGUCUUCUACUUUGUGAAAUUCAAAACAUUGAUAAUGCAUGAAAGUGCAUAGUUUUACAAAUAAAUUGUGAAGAGAUGCUCAGCCUCAGCAAAGCAAAGUGCACAUGAAACACGCUAUCUCAGAUCCAGUUGGUGAACAUUAGACACAAGGAUUAAGAGCUGACAAAUAUGAAAAAACAGAAAUCUGAUGUCGUAAAGUUUGCAUAGCCACUUCUAAACGCAGCUGGUUAAUGUCCAGUAAAAUUGAAAUUUUAGGUGCCCUGUGACCCAAUGGACCCACUUUUUAGUAUCUCCCUAAAGAAACACAUAUUCACAAGGCAGCUUCUAAUAUAAAAUUGGAAAAAUACAAAUCUAACAAGAUAAUGGAAUAUGCUAGAUGCUAUAAAAUGGUAGGUGUCAGUGAAAAAGAAUGAAGAAGGACUGUAUGCUGACAGUAGACCUCUAGGAUGCAAUGUUAAAUUUGUUAAAAGUUUGGGGGGAAAUACAUGUAAUACACAUGAUACAUGUUUAAAAAAACAUGCCAUACACAAUACUGUAUAGUGUACUUCUGCAAAUAACUAUGUGUGUACAAUAUAAAUAGAGAGUUUGGAAGGAUACUAACCCAGCUGUUUACAGUAGUCUGGCGGUGUGUGUUAGCUUAAAGUGUAAUAUUUGAUGUCUGUGAAUUUGCACUCAUGUACUGUUUCUGUAGUAACAUUAAUAAAUUAGAAAU